CCGCUCUCGGCAGGAGGACGCCAGAGUCGAUGUCUGGAGCAAAAUCAACAGUAUCUAUCAGGAUGGCAAUCAGCCAGCUCCAGACAUCGGUCCGCAGUCCCCUGCUUGUCCAGCACCCUCUGAUAACGACAGCGACGUGAUCGGCCCUUCACCAGUAAAGAAGCCCAGGAGGUAGAUCCUCACCCCAGGCGUCCUGGCCUCAUAAGUCAUCCAUCGCCGCUCGCGUCGCUGUCGACUUAACCGCCGCCACGCAUUAUUUUGUAUAUAUUUGAAAAAAUCUAUUUUAUUAAUUUAUUAACUCAUUUGUAUAUAUUAUCAUUUAAUUUAUUCAAUUCAACUAUGUAUAUAAAAAGACAAUUAAUU